rnacentral:rRNA from 1 species
UACGUAGGGUGCGAGCGUUAAUCGGAAUUACUGGGCGUAAAGGGCGUGUAGGUGGUUUCGUAAGUCUGGCGUGAAAUAUCUCGGCUUAACCGAGGCAGGUCGUCGGAUACUGCGGAACUAGAGGACGGUAGAGGCGUGUGGAAUUCCGGGUGUAGUGGUGAAAUGCGUAGAGAUCCGGAGGAACACCAGUGGCGAAGGCGACACGCUGGGCCGUACCUGACACUGAUGCGCGACAGCAUGGGGAGCAAACAGG